CACGCCGUAAACGAUGGAUACUAGCUGUUGGGAGCAAUCUCAGUGGCUAAGCGAAAGUGAUAAGUAUCCCACCUGGGGAGUACGUUCGCAAGAAUGAAACUCAAAGGAAUUGACGGGGGCCCGCACAAGCGGUGGAGCAUGUGGUUUAAUUCGAUGAUACGCGAGGAACCUUACCAAGGCUUAAAUGUAGAUUGACCGGACUGGAAACAGUUUUUUCGCAAGACAAUUUACAAGGUGC
rnacentral:rRNA from 1 species